CAAAUACAGAAACAGGUACGGAGCGCCCCCGCUCUCUAUUAGGAGCGAGAAGCUUUGAGAGAGGCACCGAUGAGGGCGAAGGACUCACCCUUACUCGAAAAUGGUGUAAGAGGAUUAUGGCAAGAGAUGAUCCACGUGGAUGAUGAAAGCAGUCGUGGCAAAAAAGGAAAAAAAAAAAAAAAAGAAACCAUGCGGUGGGCAAUUUGAGUAGAAAGAAAAAACGUGAUCUUCAGAGAAAAAGCUCAAGCCCAAUACAGGUUUUCUCCUCACUCUCCUUGUCCCCUCUCCCUCCUCCUUUUUCUGUCCUAUUUUUUGACUUCUGACUUUUUAUGUUUUUUUUCGUUGUCCUUUUUUUCUUAAACCUGGAGGGCCUAGCUGCCUUUUUAAUCCAUAACACUUGAAUUUUUUUUUUGGAUGCAAGACUAUCUUGUUCCGUAUAUUUUUUUAAUUUAUUUAAAAAAUUUGUAUAUUUGAUAAAAAAAAAUAUGAUCUAAUAUUAAGAAUAAAAUAUUAGAAUUGAGUUCUUAUACAUUUAAAAGUACUAAGUACUAAGUGAUUGAUGCAGAUUCGAAGGAUUAAAAUAAUAGUGGUCUCCUAAAAUUAAGUAGAAUGGUGGGUGGAAUAACAUAAUCUAAGAAAUGAAAUUGGUCAAAAUGAUAGAUUUAACGGUGAAAACUUACAACCACCAAGUACUUAUUGUUUUUACAAGCAUCAUAGUCGGACUCGAAAUAUUAUAUUCGGCUUUUUAAUUUUUUUUUUCAAAAUAAAAUAUAUUAUUUUGCAAAUGAAAAAUGCUAUACUAUCAAAUUAUGGAUAGCAAAAAUUUUUGCAGAAACAAAAAUCAAACUUUUUAAUUACGAUCAUACUAAAAAACUCUCGUACCAAAUAAGUUAUUUAGACAUCCAAACAAGACCUCAAUUAACGAAGCGAACAACCCACUCUCAUUUUCUCAAAAAUGAUUAUUUGCUAAAUGCAAUGGAGGGCAGAUGAGCAGAUCAUGCAUGGAAAAUUUUCAAUUCAGAUAGUUAUUUCCAAACCGUUCAAAGUUUAGGUUAGUUCUACGCAAUUUUAUACAAGUUGUUACAAAUCAACCCAUCAGGUGAAGGCAUUUGGGAAUUUGGAUAAUGACUUGAGAAUUGUCUGUGCCCUGUGUAUUAAAAGGGCCUGUUUGGAUGCUCUGAAAUUUUGUAGUGUUGGGAUUUUUCUAUUGUUUGUAGAAGAAAAAAAUUAUUUA